GAUGAACGCUGGCGGCGUGCCUAAUACAUGCAAGUCGAGCGAACAGACGAGGAGCUUGCUCCUCUGACGUUAGCGGCGGACGGGUGAGUAACACGUGGAUAACCUACCUAUAAGACUGGGAUAACUUCGGGAAACCGGAGCUAAUACCGGAUAAUAUAUUGAACCGCAUGGUUCAAUAGUGAAAGACGGUUUUGCUGUCACUUAUAGAUGGAUCCGCGCCGCAUUAGCUAGUUGGUAAGGUAACGGCUUACCAAGGCAACGAUGCGUAGCCGACCUGAGAGGGUGAUCGGCCACACUGGAACUGAGACACGGUCCAGACUCCUACGGGAGGCAGCAGUGGGGAAUCUUCCGCAAUGGGCGAAAGCCUGACGGAGCAACGCCGCGUGAGUGAUGAAGGUCUUCGGAUCUUAAAACUCUGUUAUUAGGGAAGAACAAAUGUGUAAGUAACUAUGCACGUCUUGACGGUACCUAAUCAGAAAGCCACGGCUAACUACGUG
rnacentral:rRNA from 1 species